rnacentral:rRNA from 1 species
UACGUAGGGGGCAAGCGUUGUCCGGAUUUAUUGGGCGUAAAGAGCGUGUAGGCGGCCAAGCAGGUCCGCUGUGAAAACUCGAGGCUCAACCUCGAGACGUCGGUGGAAACCGUUUGGCUAGAGUCCGGAAGAGGCAAGUGGAAUUCCCGGUGUAGCGGUGAAAUGCGCAGAUAUCGGGAGGAACACCAAUGGCGAAGGCAGCUCGCUGGGACGUGACUGACGCUGAGACGCGAAAGCGUGGGGAGCAAACAGG